CAGCACCUCAAGUGGUCAGGAUGAUUAUUGGGCCUAAAGCAUCCGUAGCCGGCGCUGUAAGUUUUCGGUUAAAUCUGUACGCUCAACGUACAGGCUGCCGGGAAUACUGCAGCGCUAGGGAGUGGGAGAGGUAGACGGUACUCGGUAGGAAGGGGUAAAAUCCUUUGAUCUAUUGAUGACCACCUAUGGCGAAGGCGGUCUACCAGAACACGUCCGACGGUGAGGGAUGAAAGCUGGGGGAGCAAACCGGAUUAGAUACCCGAGUAGUCC
rnacentral:rRNA from 1 species